AUCUACUUUAUGCACAGGAGCAGCUUCAUCCAGAAUGAAAUCAGGUAUGCAGGGGCAGCUGUUAUGGUCUUGGACUCUGGUAUUUGGGCAACUGCUUUGCCAGUGGAAACUUCAAGUCUAGAAAGCUGAACUAAAGGCUAACCCAGGUUUUAAAACUGGCAAAAGGGGCAUAGCUAAUAUCUACAUUUAUAGCAGAUAUGCCUUUGCUCAUAUACAUGGGUCCAUAUACUAAGAGAGGGGAUUAUUGACUGUUGAAGGAAGAAAAAAAUCAAAGAUAAGGAAGGAAUACUUGUUUUAUUGGAGGCAUUAUGUCUUCCUCUCAAGGUGGCCCGGGCAUCAGAAAGGGACAUCAGAAAUAGUCUGAGGGAACAGGCCAGCUGAUAAAGCAGCAAGAGAGGCCACCCAAGUUUCCCCUGCCAACAUCCUGGUAGCUUUGCAGCGCCCCCCACUCCCACCCCUACCCUGUGCCCCCAAAAAUCCCGGUAUAUACUGCUGAAGACAGAUGACAUCAGGCGAAAUGCUAAGGAGUUUAUAGAAGAGAUGGGUGGUUGCUGACUUCUGAAGCCUGCACCAUCCUACCUAAGGAGUUUGCUAAGCAACUCAUCCAUCAGAUUCAUCAACCUUCACACUUGGUAACCAAACACUGAAGGAAUUGCUGUGAGGGGCAAGGUACAAAAUAUUUGACUUAGGACAAUGGUUGAUCAGGUAUUCUCAGUCUGUGCCACCUGCCAGGCUGUGAACUCCUCAGGCCUCAGUCAAGGAACUGCUCCAGGAACCAGAAUCAGGGGUCAAUGGCCAGAGGCUAAUUGGGAAAUAGAUUAUACAGAAAUAAAACUAGGAACACAGUAUUUGCUAGUUUUUAUGGAUACCUUUUCAGGAUGGGUAGAUGCCUACCCUAUAAAGGAGACUGUCACUGUAGUGGCAAAGACGCUUCUGGAAGACAUCAUACCCAGGUAUGGUUUGCCUACUGUACUGGCUGGUUUUAUGUGCCAACUUGACACAGGUUGGAGUUAUCACAGAGAAAGGAGCCUCAGUUGAAGAAAUGCCUCCAUGAGACCCAGAUCUAAGGCAUUUUUCUCAGCUAGUGAUCAAGGGGAGAGGACCCAGCUCAUUGUGGGAGGUGCCAUCCCUUGGCUGGUAGUUUUGGGUUCUAUAAGAGAGCAGGCUGAGCAAGCCAGGGGAAGCAAGCCAGUAAGGAACAUCCCUCCAUGGCCUCUGCAUCAGCUCCUGCUUCCUGACCUGCUUGAGUUCCAGUCCUGACUUCCUUGGUGAUGAACAGCAGUAUGGAAGUGUAAGCUGAAUAAACCCUUUCCUCCCCAACUUGUUUCUUGGUCAUGAUGCUUUGUGCAGGAAUAGAAACCUGCUUGUGUUUGACAGUGAACCAUCAUCAUUUAUCUUUCAGGUAACUCAAUCUCUAGCACAGGUUCUGAGGACCAUUUGGAAAUUACCUUGUGUAUACAGACCCCAGAGUUCAGGGUAAGUAGAGAGGAUGAAUUGGAUCCUGAAGGAAGCCCUGAACAAAUUAACCCUUGAAACUGGUGGUGACUGGGUGUCUCUCCUACCUUAUUCCUUAUAUAGGGCUAGGAAUACCCCCUACACUUUAGGUCCCCUCACCCCUCUUUUGAGAUCCUUUAUGGAAGGCCCCCUUCCUUGCUGCCCAAACUCCAGUCUGAUAUCUUAGCUGAAUAUGACCAACAUAAGUUUUUAACAUCCUUGGAAGCCCUCCAUAGGAUCUGGAAGCAACUCUGGCCUGCCAUCUGCCAGGUUUAUGAGUCUGUUCCUCCCUUGACUGCCACUGAUUAGAACCAGGUGAAGAGUCUGGAUUAAGAGACAUAACCACAAGACUCUGGAACAUUGCUGGAAAGGACCUCACAUUGUGAUCCUGACCAUGCCUCUGGCUGUUAAGGUGGACGUGAUCAGGAUGUGAUGUACCACUCCCACGUUAAGCCUGCCAGGGGAGAGAUGAUCCAGCAGUUGAGAUCCCAGUGAAGGGCAAUGCCAGGUGAACAGCCACAAGAAUGAUGGGAGGUCACCCUACACUGUGUCGAUCCGCUGACUGAUCCUGAUCGACUCUGGCACUCAUGACCCUGUUUGCUUGCUGCUUAUGCUUUGCUGCACCAGCCAAUAGCCCCACGUAACCCUAGGGGGCGGAGUAACAACCUUGUCAUCAAGUUCACAGUGGCUGUCAAGACUGGACUGCUGGUUCUCAACUACUCUCACCCUGGACUGUUGGUUAUCAGACAGGGACGCUGUGUUGGAAGCAAGGUAGCCCCAGCCUAUUCCCACCUCUGCAACCACACUGUAACCCCUACUGCUGCAGGACACAGGCUGCCUCUGGAGAAUGCUUGGUGAGCUUCUACCUCGGGGGCCUACUCCAUGCAUUUAUGACCUGGUUGUAAAUAUGUCUGAGGAUUUUUAUGUUCUAAUACAGCUUGUAGCCAGAGUGACCUCUUAUUCUAGGGAGGAUGUCUUCAACCAGCUAGCACCUCCAAACAAUCGAGUUAAAAGGGUGACUACUUCUGCUGUGUUUCUAGGUUCUCUUCUUGGCAUAGGGCUAGUUGGAGCUGCUAGUGUAGGGGCCUCAGCCCUGCAAGGCCCUAUGGAUGGGGAAAUAUACAGGAGAUGGAAAAGUCCAUCGUGGCCCUGCAGGAUUCCCUAUCCUCCCUGGCAACAGUAGUCCUACAGAACAGAAGAGGCCCAGACUUGCUGUUCCUCCAGCAGGGAGGACUCUGUGCAGCCUUAGAUGAGGAAUGUUGUUUCUAUGUUGACCACUCAGGUGUGGUCAAAGAAUCCAUGGCCUUAGUCAGAAGGAGACUACAAGACAGAUUCAACUGAUGUUAGCUUUGACUUGUGGUCCCUGCAUAAUCAAUGCUUUAGUUAGGUUUGUUAAGGAACAGAUUUAUUCUCAAACAACAGUACCAGUCCAUAGAAACAUCUCAAGGAUGGCCUCAAACUGAAAGGUGGUGGUGGUAAUGAAAGGGAAGAGAUAGGCUGAUUCCACGACAGGCUUCAAAUUGGCAGUUAAGGAAACUAGGCCUAAAACUCUGUUUCCAAGAACUGGGCAAGCCCAGGCAAGCCCAGGCAAGUCAGUUAAUAGGAAAAACCCCAGGCUCCAGCCCCCACGCACCGGUAAUGGUUGUGGAAUGCCUAGAAAUAGAGUAAGAUAAAGCUCACCUACCCUGGAAUUCCUCUGAUGUGCUUUAAAUCAGGCCUGGAAGCGCAGUUGUCUGUCUAUCUUGGUAAUGGGAGACCCCAGCAUGCUGGACUUCUGCAGAAUAAAACACUCUGCAUUUACAU
rnacentral:lncRNA from 1 species